GCACCCGUAGCUCAGAGGAUAGAGCACCGGCCUCCGGAGCCGGGUGUCGGGCGUUCGAAUCGCCCCGGGUGCGCCA
rnacentral:tRNA from 1 species